rnacentral:rRNA from 1 species
GAUGAACGCUGGCGGCGUGCCUAAUACAUGCAAGUCGAGCGAACGGACGAGAAGCUUGCUUCUCUGAUGUUAGCGGCGGACGGGUGAGUAACACGUGGAUAACCUACCUAUAAGACUGGGAUAACUUCGGGAAACCGGAGCUAAUACCGGAUAAUAUUUUGAACCGCAUGGUUCAAAAGUGAAAGACGGUCUUGCUGUCACUUAUAGAUGGAUCCGCGCUGCAUUAGCUAGUUGGUAAGGUAACGGCUUACCAAGGCAACGAUGCAUAGCCGACCUGAGAGGGUGAUCGGCCACACUGGAACUGAGACACGGUCCAGACUCCUACGGGAGGCAGCAGUAGGGAAUCUUCCGCAAUGGGCGAAAGCCUGACGGAGCAACGCCGCGUGAGUGAUGAAGGUCUUCGGAUCGUAAAACUCUGUUAUUAGGGAAGAACAUAUGUGUAAGUAACUGUGCACAUCUUGACGGUACCUAAUCAGAAAGCCACGGCUAACUACGUGCCAGCAGCCGCGGUAAUACGUAGGUGGCAAGCGUUAUCCGGAAUUAUUGGGCGUAAAGCGCGCGUAGGCGGUUUUUUAAGUCUAAUGUGAAAGCCCACGGAUCAACCGUGGAGGGUCAUUGGAAACUGAAAAACUUGAGUGCAGAAGAGGAAAGUGGAAUUCCAUGUGUAGCGGUGAAAUGCGCAGAGAUAUGGAGGAACACCAGUGGCGAAGGCGACUUUCUGGUCUGUAACUGACGCUGAUGUGCGAAAGCGUGGGGAUCAAACAGGAUUAGAUACCCUGGUAGUCCACGCCGUAAACGAUGAGUGCUAAGUGUUAGGGGGUUUCCGCCCCUUAGUGCUGCAGCUAACGCAUUAAGCACUCCGCCUGGGGAGUACGACCGCAAGGUUGAAACUCAAAGGAAUUGACGGGGACCCGCACAAGCGGUGGAGCAUGUGGUUUAAUUCGAAGCAACGCGAAGAACCUUACCAAAUCUUGACAUCCUUUGACAACUCUAGAGAUAGAGCCUUCCCCUUCGGGGGACAAAGUGACAGGUGGUGCAUGGUUGUCGUCAGCUCGUGUCGUGAGAUGUUGGGUUAAGUCCCGCAACGAGCGCAACCCUUAAGCUUAGUUGCCAUCAUUAAGUUGGGCACUCUAAGUUGACUGCCGGUGACAAACCGGAGGAAGGUGGGGAUGACGUCAAAUCAUCAUGCCCCUUAUGAUUUGGGCUACACACGUGCUACAAUGGACAAUACAAAGGGCAGCGAAACCGUGAGGUCAAGCAAAUCCCAUAAAGUUGUUCUCAGUUCGGAUUGUAGUCUGCAACUCGGCUACAUGAAGCUGGAAUCGCUAGUAAUCGUAGAUCAGCAUGCUACGGUGAAUACGUUCCCGGGUCU